rnacentral:rRNA from 1 species
GGAUUAGAUACCCUGGUAGUCCACGCCGUAAACGAUGAGAACUAGACGUUGGGCGACAUAGUCGCUCAGUGUCGCAGCAAACGCGUUAAGUUCUCCGCCUGGGGAGUACGGCCGCAAGGUUGAAACUCAAAGGAAUUGACGGGGGCCCGCACAAGCGGUGGAGCAUGUGGUUUAAUUCGAUGCAACGCGAAGAACCUUACCUGCCCUUGACAUCCUGUGAACCCUUCGGAGACGAAGGGGUGCUUUCGAGAACACAGUGACAGGUGCUGCAUGGCUGUCGUCAGCUCGUGCCG